AUUUGACUCUUUCAGCUGGGAAUUAAGUUUUGCUUUGAUUUUUUGCCUUUUUCUUGUUCAAUAACAAUAGCUACUCUAUUAAUGUGAAUAACACUUGUGCAAUUAGGAUGCUUGUAUGGCUUCUUUACAGACAUUGUUAUCGAUUGCUUACUAGCUAAAUCAGCCGUUAAUAUACAAAAAUGGUAAUUGACUUAAUAACAAAGAAACGUGUCAGGUCUGAAAUAUCGACUGUAGAUAUGAAUGAAUGCGCUCAGGUUGAGUAUUCUUUUAAUCGAAAAACUGAGUAAAUCGAUCUCCAUAUAUUCAUCGACUUUAAAUCAACCUCCUUGGAACCGCAAACGUGGAAACCUUUCCCUUGUUGAUGAUCAAGCUGUCUGCUCCAUUGUUUACAGACAUGCAAAAAAUCAAGCUUAAAGCACAUUACCAACAAGAAGCGAACAACCCUCCAGAGUCACUGUGGUAACAUUCAUGGCUUAGCCGAAGGGAUAUUCUCCAAGGUCUCGAUUCCUAGGAGUGAACAAUGCUCAGCUAUCAAACACU